UUUAAAAGGCCUAAUUCAAAGCCCCAAGGAUUAGUUAGCCUUGUUUUCAGUACUUUCAGGACCAGGUCCAGAAUCCCUCCUUUACAAUACGAGAUUGAUAAUGUCAACCUCAUUGCUUUGGUAAAAUAAUGCACUGGGCAAGAUGUUGUGGCAUGCUAUUCAGACCUCCAAGAUGAAGGUACGGAUUUCCUCAGGCGCUGGAAGAACUGGCCCAUUGCUAACAGGGACAAGACAGCUACAACAACCAUGUCUCCAAAGAAACCUCUGCAGUGCAUACUUCCCUGUGAUACUUAAGGUGGAAGAUAAAUCGUUCUUCACAACGAGGCAGGGGAAUAGAGAUGUGGUUCCUG
rnacentral:lncRNA from 1 species